AUUCCAGCGGUCUCUCCAGCGGCACAGCGCAUACCCAAACCUCCCCAGGGUGACAUCAUCCCAUAUAUGGACUCUCCAGCCCAGCCCUCCCCCUUUUCCUGGUCCUAAAUUCAUUGCCAGUUCCCCAGUCUGCAGCAAAUGUGCCACGUCAAGACUGGAAAUCACAGCCCUUGAGUCUCAGUCGGGGCAGCAGAAUUCGGGGGGGAAGCCGAAGGCAACCCCUGGUGCAGGAAGGGAGGCUUUUCCCCAACACCGGGAGAGGAUUUUUAAGUGCAUAGUUGGAAGCUUCUGGAGAUCCUGCUCCGUCGCCCCAGUGUUCAGACUACCUGUUCAGGACAAUGCCGUUGUACAGUAGUCUGCACAUUGGUUAGACUGGGCAAGGGAGAGCAACGCCAUGGACAGCUGGGGACAAAAGUGGCUGUUUCCAAGGAGGAAGACAUUUGUUUGCUCCUUUUUUGAAUCUCAUAUCCAGUGUUUUUCUUCACAGGUUUUGCACAGUAGGGGCCAGGAAGCCCUCGGGGACACUGCCGAGAAAGGACUGCUCGAGGGAAGACCUGUGGGUAAGGCCUUCUUGACUGCUCACCUGGGCUGUGACCAGGAGAGCCCAGGUGGGGAGCCAACGAUUUGCUUUCACAUGGGAGAGAAACCGAGGCGGGAUUGUGACAGACAGGUCUGCGUUUACUUUUAAAAGAGCAACGAUGUGUGGUACACUGCGAUUUACUAGCUGUUGUUCAAUUUCUGGAGUUUAAGUAUUUUCUUAAAUUUAAAGGUUUUCCCACUUCAAAAUGAAAUAUGAAAAGACGCCAAACACUUAAGAAUAAUUUAAUGAGGCUGGUUUUGAAUUGUUGAAAUUGAUAAUCCAGAGACUUAAAAACAUAUUUGAAUGAGAGCUGAAGUAUAACAUUUAGCAUCCCAGGAUUGAAUCCAUUUUGCCCCAAAGUAAACAAUACUUGCUAUUUUUAAAAUGCUAUCUGAAUAGUGCUUUUCUUAAAUUUUAUAUAAUAUAAAUAUCAGGAAUAAUAUUAUCUAACAAUAAAAGGAGAGGCUGCCAAGAAUUUUUGCCUACCAGACAAUGCAGAUAGGACUGGUCCAGAAAAGAGCACCAACCCAGAACUUAUUGAGUCAGCAACCAAAUAAAUUGGAGAAUAAAAACCUCUAUAUUCAGAUAUUCCAAUAUGUAUCUCUGUAUUACAUUUUUUAAAAAUCUAAGAAUGGUUGAUAAUUGCUGGUCAGCUGAGCCUUCCUGGCUAUAUUUUACAAUGCUUCUAUUUCUCUGAGCACUUAAAAUGAUAAGGUACUUUGUCUAGAAACCCACUGAUAAAAAAGGAAUUUGUAAACGAAAGCAAAGUUUUCUUUGGUCAGUUUCCAGCUGUCCUGGGGGUGAAGGAGGGUGGGAGAGGGGGAGGAAGGUGGGAGGGAGGAAAACCCUCAAGCUGAAUGAAAUCCCAAUAGAGAGAAUAAUGGAGAAAGUCUGGAUUGCAAUACGUGCAAUACGAUCCAUGUUGAACUUUAGAGAUGGGUCCCUUAAAGAACGUUCUGGAAAAAAAUGUUACUGCUUUAACCUUCAUUUAUAUCUAUCCCCAAACAAUUCCAUAUAAUGAAAAUAUCUGUUCUUUAGGCUUUUGUGUGAAUGUACCCUCUUUUGUCCUCCUUUUAAAUUCUGUCAUGUUAUAGUGAUUCCUUAACAAAUCCUUUUCCAAAUCAUACAUUUUGCAACAAUUCAAACAUUGUCACAAGUUCUCUGGCAAAACAUUUGAUUACCAAAGUGUCCCCCUAGUUAUAUUUUGUUGAAAGAACUUAUUUUAAAAGUUACCACUUGAUCAUUCCAAAGCUGGUAGAAAAGUUUUCUCUUUUAUUCAUUAUUUUUAGCUAAAAUACAAAAAGCAAGGAUUUAUUACAGCGAUUUCUUCCAUUUAAAUGAUUCAGUAAUGUCAUCCUUUUUUUUUUGUUUUCUAUUGUAUCUUGGAGGCUUCCAUUAUUAAUUAUUUCUAACAGAACAAGUAAGAUUUUUUAAAUCUACUUUUUUUUUUUAACAUAGGAAAACAACAACAAAAAAAUCUAUUAGGUAGCUUUACAGGAGUUUAUUUUUUCAAGAAACAUAUUUUUACUGUUUGAUACAGUUACCAAAGAAGAUAAAGUACUUUGGCAAUAUUUAAGAAUUUUCAAAUAUGAGGGUUUUUUGUCUUGUGUUUUUACUCCAUAGAAUAACUGAAUUUCCUAACUUGCUUUCAUUUCACGUAUGUUUAAUUUAAAUGUCUUUUUUCAUAUUAAGUGGCCUUUUUGCUUUAAAGAAACAAAUCACCACUGGUUCCUCACCUAUUUUUUCCCUCAGGGUGACUUUUAGUCUGGAGACAGAGGGGACCCGGUGGUGUCUUUGGCCUAAGCAGAGAAGCAGAAACAUUAUUAAUUUGAAAAAAGCAUAGCCGAGGAACCGCUGCAUGUGCUCGGUGGAGUUCGGGAAUCAAGGGAUCUAUUCCAGAGGAAACUAACCAACAAUGAACAUCCUCUACUAAAACUACCCCUGGAAAUAAUGGUUGCAUGCAUCAUUCCUUUAAUUGAGCAGAGUUAACUGGAUCAAAUUAUUUAUGGGAGAGAGAGGGAAAGCUAUACAGAAUUACAGUAAUUUUAAAAUUCUACCAAUAUGCUCUUUGUUAGUGAAUCACUCCAUAAAUAUUUUCUGUUGCAUUGAAGGCAGCAACAGUAACAAAAUAGUUCCUUAAGGUAUUUGUUUUUGCAUACUCUGGCCUUGUAAUUAUCUAAGUAGCAGCCAAGUUUAGUGAUGGUUUUGAUUCUGUCAAGAAAAAAUAAUAAGUCUUCCACUCAGAAGUGAUGACCAGAAACAAUCUGAUAUUUAUUUUUUGAAAUUAAAUAAAUAGAAAGUUGCACUUACCAACUUUUUGUUAAAACUGUACCAUAUCUAAUCACUGCAUAAAAAUUCAGAUGUAUAGAAUACUGUCAUUUUUUCAGUCUCUAAAAUCUAAUUUGUUCUCCGUAAACUUUCUCUUCUCUAUUUUCACAGAAUUUUACAAUUAAAGGGAAAUAACAAACUAUUUGCUUCCUUAAAAUUCUUUGGAAAAAAUUCCCUAAGUACACACUCCUUGGACAAUAAGGUUUUGUUUUAUUCUUUAAGAAAUUCUGUUUAUUGGAAUUUUGACUAUCUACAUAUUUUAUUUUUUAAAGGGCAAAGGAAUUUGUUAAGUAUCUCUAAGGAUGUGAAUUGAUUAUUUACAUUAAAAUAACCAGUAGAGUUAUUCUCAAGUCACCAGAAUUAAAUUUCCUAACUGUAUGCUUACCACUAUUAACUCUUUCUUAUACGAAUUUUAAGGAGAUUUUUUAAAGGGUCUGAUUUUCAUUUUUGGAUAUGAAAUCGAGUUUCCUUUUCUAUGCUUAAGGUACUAUUUUGUAACUGCACUGCACUAACAUGUCCAAAACACACUGUGAGCAUCACUAUGAGCAACAACCUUUUAGAUUAUACCCUCUUGAUUCAUGGCACAGCCCUGUAGUUAAUUAAGAGGAGGAGAACUUAAGCUCACAAUUGCUUUUUAUUUGGUUUUCACAUCCAUACUCUAAAACUUUGCAUUAAAAAGAAUAUGAGAAAUUUAAAUAAAUUUCUGUUGCUUAAUAAAAUAUUGAUGAAAAUGCAUUCCCUUGUGAAAAUCCCACUGUCAAAGCAUCAGAUACCAAAGUCCGCUGGUUGAACUGUCAAAUACAUUAGGCUCAUUAAUUAUUAUGAAUAUGGCUUCCAUUUCCAUGUAAAUGACAAGCUUCUUUUUCAUGGGCAAGGUUAUGGUACUUAUCCAUUACAAGAAACAUGUAUAAACACAGUCUUUAUCUUUAACCUCAGUUUUAAAAUAUGCAGAGUUUUCGUGAAGAGGAAAAACAUCUGGUUCAAUUACUCUGAACUCUGACUGCAUGUGGGCCAGUAGUAAUAUGAAUUGGAUUUAAGAAUAAACCGUGUGUUUAGUCUUUUUUGUUGUUGUUUUUUCCUGAAAAUGUCUGUGUGAGUUUUCUGUUAUGUCAAUUAUCCAUGUUAGCACAUUUGGAACAAAUGUAUCAGUGUAACUUUCUGAAUAAAGUCGAAAGUCUAACUUGUUUUUAGCUCCAUAAUGUUUUAAUGUUUAAUUCUAUUGUGUGUUUUUCUCCCUUUCCCCUGACCUUCCAAAAUCACCAAAUCUGGAAAACAGGCUGAUUGUAUCUGCCCAUGAGCAGAGGAAACCCGAAGGAACCAAGGGCCUGGCUGGACGGAGUUGUCAUGUGUCUGCCUGUCUACACUUGCUGUGCAGAACAUCCGCUCACCUGUACAGCAGGCACAGACAGGCAGUCACAUGACAACCCAGCCUGAGUGACAACCAGCCAUUGAGAGAGAGCAGCCCUCACUCCGUAGCACCUACACCAAGAGCUACAGCCAAAAUGAGGGACGCGGGGGCCUGGAGUUUUAAUCUGUUGGUUUCUUAACUCGUAUGUAUUCUUCUUCUUCUUCUUCAAAUAUUGAAACCCACCAAAAGUAAAGUGAGUGGUGCUUAUGAAAUAUAAUAAAACCCAUUUCUGAAAAUA